rnacentral:rRNA from 1 species
UACGUAGGGUGCGAGCGUUGCCCGGAUUUAUUGGGCGUAAAGGGCGCGUAGGCGGCCACGCACGUCCGUUGUGAAAUCGCCCGGCUCAACUGGGCGGGGUCAGCGGAUACGGUGUGGCUCGAGCAAGCUAGGGGGCAAUGGAAUUCCCGGUGUAGUGGUGGAAUGCGUAGAUAUCGGGAGGAAUACCUAUGGCGAAGGCAGGUUACUGGGCCAUCACUGACGCUGAGCUGCGAAAGCUAGGGGAGCAAACAGG